rnacentral:rRNA from 1 species
GGACCUAGGUGUCUUUUGUCUCGUUGGGCUAACCGGGUGAUAGUGCAGGGCUUGCCUGCGUGUUAGAUAGGGGCUGAAAGAGAGGUUGGAGCUAAGAGUAGAGGGCUUAGGGUGGCAGCGGCGGCCAGAGGAGGCUGUCUGGGCGGUGGUGGCGGCCGGAAGAGGGGGUCUGUGCGGCGUGGGUGGCCGGAGGAGGACGUCUGGGCGGCGGCGUUCGGAGGAGGGCGUUGGGGCGGCCGCCGGGGGAGGGUUUAGGCCGAACUGAUGGGUGGCAUCUGGCGUGGACGGGGUAGGGCGCCGGUGGGGGCCUAGGAGCGCUGCGGCGGCAGGGUUGUAAGGACGCGCGGCGGCGGCGGAGGACCUAGGGCCUCGAGGCGCUGAGCCAGUAAGGAUGGUAGAGGCGGAAGGAGGUCGAUCGAUCGGAGCGGCCGCGGCCGCGGCCGACGUCGGGGUCUAGGGGUGGUGACCCCGGGCGGUCGCCUGCGGCGCGAGGGGGUGGCGGCGGUCGGCGGCCGCGCCAUGGAGUAGGGGCCAAGGAGGUAAGAUCGGUACACGCCGGCAAGUUGCUUGACCGAGCUACGGCAGGUUGAGGAGAAACCGCGUCGUAGCCCUUGCUGUCGCAGGUUCGGUAGAGGAGACAAGUCGGGCUAUCGCAGGUUCGGUAGAGGAGACAAGUUCAAGCAAAGUUAGGUGUUGGCGGUAGCGCCACCGGAGUACGAGGUCGGGGUACGGUGCCGGCGUCAGGUUACACAGGUCAACGUCGGCAAGCCGUGACGGUACGUUCCACUCGACCUAGGUUUGUGGGACGAGUAGAGCCAGCGUCGGUACCGAAAGCAUGUUCGACGGCGACGUCGAGUUGGGUGUACGCGAACCCAACUACUCAUGCUUGUGGCGCGGCCGUCCAGGUGUGCGGUAGUUGUUUCAGGUACGAUAACGACGAGAGGCUGAGUGUCGUAGUGCUUAGUCCACCGCCGGUAUUAUCCGAUCGGUACAAUACGAAACCGAGGGUCAUUGCACAAACACGAUUACGAAUCAUCCUCGAGAUCAACAUGACUAUUUUCUCUUGGCUUGGUCGUAUAUUCCCUUUUUCGUCGUAGAGAGAUAGAAACUAGCAAGAUACUAUGUGUAUACGUGCAUAUACGUUAAUCGGUUUAAGGAGGAAAUAUAACAAAUAAGUGAUUAGUAAGUACGUAGCACAGGAUUUUUCUUUAUGUCUCACGAGGCAAGCCGUAGUACCGAGCGACGGGGUCGCGCGCGGGCGACAACACGAGGAGGAUGGUGGAGGGCUGCUACGGGCACCGCGGUUCUUCCUGAGUGACUGCUCGCAGAGUUAGGGGUAACUUAUCUGCGUACACGACACGCGGCCCUCACACCUUACCAGCGACAGCAGAGGUCAACGGCCCGUAGCGUGGUACUCGCAUAAGACUUUUGACGCCAUCUCUCUCGUACACGGACAGUUUUCCCCGCCGUCCACGGACAGUUUUCCUCGCCGCUCCUCUUCGAUCGGAACAAAUAGGCGUGAUUUAGUAAGGGACGGAACGAGGAAUAUAGAGGACCCACUUCUUCUUGUUCAUGAUGCCCUAAGUCUAGUCGCAACCCACAGUUUUCUUUGUUACCUCUACAAAAAUACCGCAAGCACGUACACUACCGACACACACAAGAAACACAUACAGAAACCCCUUUACAAAAAAAAGCACGAAACACAUAUGUUUUCUUUAUUCAAGUUUUUAUUCUAUACAUUCUCAAGUUUUAUACAUUUCUUUUUUCAAGCACAUACUCUUUAAGUGCG